AUAUACGACCGUACCGCAAACCGACACUGGUGCGCGAGAUGAGUAUUCUAAGGCGCUUGAGAGAACUCAGGAGAAGGAACUCGGCAAAUUGACACCGUAACUUCGGAAGAAGGUGUGCCCUAUUAGUGUGUAGUGAACAACGAAGCAUGAAUGGGUUGCAAAAAAUCGGUGGCUGCGACUGUUUAUUAAAAACACAGCACUCUGCAAACACGAAAGUGGACGUAUAGGGUGUGACGCCUGCCCGGUGCUGGAAGAUUAAAUGAUGGGGUGCAAGCUCUUGAUUGAAGUCCCAGUAAACGGCGGCCGUAACGAUAACGGUCCUAAGGUAGCGAAAUUCCUUGUCGGGUAAGUUCCGACCUGCACGAAUGGCGUAACGAUGGCCACACUGUCUCCUCCUGAGACUCAGCGAAGUUGAAAUGUUUGUGAUGAUGCAAUCUCCCCGCGGAAAGACGGAAAGACCCCAUGAACCUUUACUGUAGCUUUGUAUUGGACUUUGAACAGAUCUGUGUAGGAUAGGUGGGAGGCUUUGAAGCAGGGUCGCUAGAUCUUGUGGAGCCAACGUUGAAAUACCACCCUGGUGUGUUUGAGGUUCUAACCUAGGUCCAUUAUCUGGAUCGGGGACAGUGCAUGGUAGGCAGUUUGACUGGGGCGGUCUCCUCCCAAAGCGUAACGGAGGAGUUCGAAGGUACGCUAGUUACGGUCGGACAUCGUGACGAUAGUGCAAUGGCAUAAGCGUGCUUAACUGCGAGACUGACAAGUCGAGCAGAUGCGAAAGCAGGACAUAGUGAUCCGGUGGUUCUGUAUGGAAGGGCCAUCGCUCAACGGAUAAAAGGUACUCUGGGGAUAACAGGCUGAUACCGCCCAAGAGUUCAUAUCGACGGCGGUGUUUGGCACCUCGAUGUCGGCUCAUCUCAUCCUGGGGCUGUAGCCGGUCCCAAGGGUAUGGCUGUUCGCCAUUUAAAGAGGUACGUGAGCUGGGUUUAAAACGUCGUGAGACAGUUUGGUCCCUAUCUUCCGUGGGCGCUGCAGAUUUGAGGAAGCCUGCUCCUAGUACGAGAGGACCGGAGUGGACACACCUCUGGUGUAUCGGUUGUCACGCCAGUGGCAUUGCCGAGUAGCUAAGUGUGGAAGAGAUAACCGCUGAAAGCAUCUAAGCGGGAAACUCGUUUCAAGAUGAGAUCUGCCGGGGCCUUGAGCCCCCUAAAGAGUCGUUCAAGACCAGGACGUUGAUAGGUCAGGUGUGGAAGCCAAAAAA
rnacentral:rRNA from 1 species